rnacentral:rRNA from 1 species
AAUAGAUACCCAGGUAGUCCACGCCGUAAACGAUGAGUGCUAAGUGUUAGAGGGUUUCCGCCCUUUAGUGCUGCAGCUAACGCAUUAAGCACUCCGCCUGGGGAGUACGGCCGCAAGGCUGAAACUCAAAGGAAUUGACGGGGGCCCGCACAAGCGGUGGAGCAUGUGGUUUAAUUCGAAGCAACGCGAAGAACCCUACCAGGUCUUGACAUCCUCUGCCAACCCUAGAGAUAGGGUGUUCCCCUUCGGGGGUACAGAGUGACAGGUGGUGCGUGGUUGUCGUCAGCUCGUGUCGUGAGAUGUUGGGUUAAGUCCCGCAACGAGCGCAACCCUUGAUCUUAGUUGCCAGCAUUUAGUUGGGCACUCUAAAGUGACUGCCGGUGACAAACCGGAGGAAGGUGGGGAUGACGUCAAAUCAUCAUGCCCCUUAUGACCUGGGCUACACACGUGCUACAAUGGAUGGUACAGAGAGCUGCGAACCCGGCGAGGGUAAGCCAAUCUCAUAAAGCCAUUCUCAGUUCGGAUUGUAGG